GUGCAGCAGGCGCGAAUUUUUCACAAUGGGGGAAACCCUGAUGGAGCGACGCCGCGUGGAGGAUGAAGGCGUUUUCGUCGUAAACUCCUGUCAAACGGGAACAAGAAAGUGAUAGUACCGUUAGAGGAAGGGGCGGCUAACUCUGUGCCAGCAGCCGCGGUAAUACAGAGGCCUCAAGCGUUGUUCGGAUUCAUUGGGCGUAAAGGGUGCGUAGGUGGCUUGGUAAGUUGAAGGUGAAAUCUCGGGGCUUAACUCCGAAACUGCCUUCAAUACUGCCGAGCUCGAGGAUUGUAGAGGAGAAUGGAAUUCACGGUGUAGCAGUGAAAUGCGUAGAUAUCGUGAGGAAGACCAGUGGCGAAGGCGAUUCUCUGGGCAAUUCCUGACACUGAGGCACGAAGGCUAGGGGAGCAAACGGGAUUAGAUACCCGCGUAGU
rnacentral:rRNA from 1 species